AAAAAGUAAAAAAAAUCCGUCUCUCAAUACUAUAAAACCCCAUCCCACGGCCCUUUUCCCCUCUUUGUAGCUAGAGAAGGAGAUCUCUCCCCUCUUGUUCUCCUUUCCUCUCCUCUCCGAUGGCCCCCGCCUCCGCUCCCCCCAGCGACCAAACUUCUCCCGCCCCUCCGGCCCGUCGUCGCGAGCCCCGGCGGGCAUUUCGGUCAAUGUAGGGGCGCCGGACAUGGUGUAGCGGUAGAAGGAAGGCACACAGGAUGGAGCCAGGCAUUCCGGACGGAGGAACCACGCGCGGCGUCCAUUGGGGAAGAGACAACGACACACCGAAGCUUGGUGUACCAUCGCGCGGUAUAUAUAAAUAUACACGGGAUCUAACGGUCCAUGAUGAUGCAUCGCGUUCUCGCCCUUUCUUUUUCUUUUCUUUCUUUAACUCCAAAUUUCUUCCUUGAUAUAUAUUAUGUAAUUCUUGCCGAACAUACGCGUUUUUUCUGUUCUUUAGUAGUUUUUAAAUUAUAUAACGUUUAGUUCGCAUUUCAUGUGGAGGGUUUUGGGUUGGAAAUUUGGAAAUCUUUUUGCGCUGCGAUUUUUUGGUUAUUGACUUAUCAUGGUGGAUCUGUAUCAGUGAUCGAAUGGGUUUUAUUUGGUGAUAUUUAUGGGUGUUGUUUAAUUCUUUUGUGGGCUUAAUUGUUUGCUAAUUAUGGUAGUAUAGGAUUGGUUUUGGCUUGUUUAGUAAAUCUUGGCUUGGGCUUUGAUGUUUUUCCUAGAUAUGACUGGAUGUUGUUUGUUUGAGUUCUUAAUUUGCCUGAGAUUUCUUUUUCUUUUUUCGAACUCGCCCUCUCCGUUCCGGAAAUGCUUGUUUGUCAAAGUCAGUUAAGUUGUUUAUUCAAAUUCACUAAUAAAGUGGUACAAUUCGUAACAUCUUUCUACAUGGAUUAUGAAAAUUUUAGGAUUCUCAUCUUCGUCAUGAGAAUUAUUGUUGAAACUGUUGUUUGACGUGAUUUUUACUGUUUAGCAUCACUGUAGCAUCAAUUCUUUCUUUGUUGUUUUCCUCGAUAAAAGAUUCUCUUCCUUUGAUUUUUUUUAAACAACUUUUUCAGAUUUUUUGUCCAGACUAGUAUAAUUCUACUCAGACUGAUUUCUUUUCCCAUGUCUUUAUCAUUCUCACUGACUAAUAUUUGUGGCAGCAUUAUGGAAUACUCAAAAUUUUGUAAUAUAUAUAUAUAUAUAUUUGUGCAGAUUGUUGUUCUUGACUUUUUAUUUUUGGGGUACCAGUUUGGCAUUGUUGUAGCAUCAAAUCCUUCUUUGUUGUUUUAAUAACUAAAAGAUUCUCUUCUUUGUUUUUUUAGCCAAAAUUCCUUCCGUACGUUUUGUCCAAAUUGGUCAUAUUCUCCCCCUGGUGAUAUUUUUUUCUCCUCAUGAACAUUCUCGUUGACAAAUGUUACUGGCAGCAUCAUUAAUACUCAGGCAUUGGUAAAUAAUUUUGAUACUGAUUUGCUGGCCUUGAUACUAGUUGACCAUCUCUUAGGAGAUCACAAAUGGAUCCACAUUGGAGCUUUAUCUGAUCCUUAAUGCUUAUCAUCAGAACUAGCCGCUCUUUCUUUUUUAUGGAUCCCUUUGAUAUGCAUGAUAAUAUAUUGCUCCAACUAAUGAAUGUGAGUUUUAGCAGCUUAGAUGAUUAAUUUUUUAUGAUUAUCAUGUGGCAAGAAUGUGUGGUGAUUUGAUUAUCAUUUACUUCCCCACUUCGUUUUGGCAUGUCUAAGAUUCAUGCAUUAGCUAGGGGAAUUUGCGGUCUUCAUUAAAAUUAACUUUGUAAUGGCAUAUGUUGAACUUGAUUAAUAGCUUUUCCAUCAUAUUAUGGCUGGAGUGGAGUUCAGAUUUUUAGUGCAAAGGUCAAUUGGAUGGUUCUUUUGCUUCCUUUGGGCUUGUGUUGCGUCAGGCAGGAAGAAUAAUGAAACAACAAGAAAAAAAAGAGAAAAGAACCAGAGCAUAGAAUAUUGAUAUUGUUCGUUCUAUUGACCUACAUCCACGGGCAGAGACGAUACAAAAAUUUCACUAUAGAAAACUGGAGAUUAUAGAGUACAAGAUUUUUUCACAAACCCUAUCCUCCAUUUUACCCGAUCUCUAGAAUACUAAAUCAUAUAUAAUAGAGUAAGUCGAUUUAGACUUGAACUAGUGUCCUAUAAUAAUUGGGGCUUGUAAACUCAAGACAUUCUCAACUUAAGUAUUGGACCUUUUCAGGCUUUUCUAGUGGCAUGUAAGGACUUGGCAUUAGAAUCCCCUUUUGCUUAUCUUAGUCUUCUUGCCAGUGAUGGAGUAGAUGUUCAACAUGGUGCUAGAGCAACGGUUUGUUUUUAUUCUUCACCUCUAUAAACCUAUUUCUUAAUUGUAUUUGUCAAUGAUAAAAUCACCCUUUGCAAACUAUUCUUUUAUUAUGCAAGAUAUACCAUAUGCUUGUAUUGCUCCGCUUUGUGUCAAUCUUGUGCAAAAUAGAAAUACUCAGGCCUCAUUGUGUGUUCAGUUGGAAGAUGGGGUGUUCAAUUGCCUUAUGUCUUUAAAAGAAAUAGCAAGAUAAUGUUGGUGGACAGUAACUCUGGAUGCCACCUUGUAUAAGAAAAGCCUAAGAAGUGGAUGGAGAACUGGAUAGAGAAAGAGUUAACCUCUUGAAAAAAGGAGUAGUAUUUGGUGGUGGGUAUCCUUCUUUUGGUUCAGCCUACCCUUGCUGUUACUCCCAUAUGUUCUUUUAAAAUUUUAGUUUAUUGAUGAAUCACUUGGAGAUCUUAUAUGUGAAUUCUUUGGGGAGAGUGUGGUGGUUCAGGGGACUCACAAUUUGGUGGCAUGGGAGGAUCUUUUUGUGUAUUUAUAGCCAUCUGGUUUCUACUUUAAAGAGCUCAAGCGGCUUCAUAUGGUUCUUUUACGCUAGUUGUCUUGGAACAACUGGUUGCUUUUGUAAAUCUCUUGCUGCGUAUAAGUAUAGACACAGAGUUCUUGAAGGUCUCUAUGGUGUGCCUGGAAUUUGAAGGGGGUUGAGUUUGUCUAGCUGCUUGGUAAAGAUUUAACCUCUAGAUAUAUGAUGGUGCUCAUGUUCGUUGUUAGGAAAACACUAUACUAUAGUCUCUCUCAGGAUGAAAUUCCUUUAUUUAGGUUUAUUUUUUCAUUUUCUUCCUCCAUGCUACUUUCAUCCUUACAAGAAAGUGCAGGUAGAAAUGACCUUUACAACUUUUAUUUUUGGUUGGUUGGUAACUUUUGAUAGGAAGGUACCACAUAUGAUCCUAAACAGAACCAGGGAGUACAAGUGGCAUUUUCUAGUUGAGAAUGCAUUGGUUGACUUUUUGAAUGUAAAGCUAGUCAUAUUUUGGUUUCAGCAGAUUAACUUGUGAAAUUUUCUUUCUAUUAAUGAAAAUCUAAAACAGAGAGUCAAAAUAAGAAAGGAGAUUGGUUUGGGACAAGUCAUGUAUUUUUUCUUUGUGAUACAUAAUAGUUCAGAUGUUGCAUAUAAACCUUCUGAGGGCAUCAGGAAAAAUUACCAUACUCCACUAAUAUAUCAUGUCAAUGAUCUUCUCCAUUUGUCACUAAUGCUGGAUUAAGAUGCUUGAAUUUUUGUGGAAACUAGAUAAUUAAUUGACAUUGGGAUAAUGCUGUAACUUGGUUUUUCAGCUUGUACUUAUGCCUUGGAAAACACUUCACUUUUUUGCAAAAUGUUUCCUCUUGUUGUGUAUGCAAUCUUUUCCAAGUUCAGGGAAAUCAUGGAUGAUUAUUCUUUGUUCCUUCUUUGCAAGCAUGUUGGCUUUCCAUGUUUCAUGGCAAGCCCCUGUUAUUCCCUAAGUUUGCCUUGACCAGGAAAUCAAUGCCAAUGGAGGGUUGAUGUCAGGUUGAAGUAGGUCAUGAACCAUUCUCAAACUUUGAUGGAUCAUACUCUGGUUUGUAAAGCUGAACCGUUGUAAACCAAAUAAAGCUUGCAAGUUAAGGAUAUACAAUGGCAAAACCUUGCUUUCCUAAAAUUUGUGGUGAUCUCAUGGUUAGUUGCUUCUGCUCAAUGAAGUUAUUGUUUCGAAUCAGAAAUUCCUAUGGGAUCUUUGUAGCUAGUCAAGGCCCAUGUCAGGAAGUUUAUUCUUUCAUAACUCCUUUUUCUUCUUGUCGGUGAGAUUUUCAGUACCAUCUUGGGUGUAGCUGGAGGAGAAUGGUAAAUUUGGUUUUGAGAUCAAUUGCUUGCAUCUUGCAUACGACUAAAUUCUUUGUUUUAAUUGUUGGAGAAGGUAUUGGACUCCACUCAAGUAGUUCCACGUCACUUUGAAAUUUUUUGCUUGCUUAAAGCUAAUCUUUUCAAAUCAUUUGUCUAAGAGAUUUACAUGUAUGAUACACAAUUUGCCAGUGCAUGAAAUAUUGCGAACGCUGCAGUUUUCCAUCAUUCACCCGAAUUACCCCUUUUUACAAGAGAAUAAAGACUAUUUAUUUGAAAUUGUUGAUUGCCAUAAUUCUCUAAUUCAACUUUUUUUAUCAUCUAUCCUGUUUUCUGUAUCCCUGCGGGAGUGGAGAAUGGAAAUGAAUCCAUGAGGAGUUUCUCGUGAGGUUUCAUCAUUUCAGUAACAGGUGUAGAACAGUGAUAAAUUUGACGUGCUGGGAUCUGUCUAGAAGUCAUAUGCAGUUAGAGAUUGCGAUUUUUGUUCUUCAGUCUUGGUCAGCGGCGUUUGAGUGGGCCUAGCUUGUAAUCUUCUUUGAAGAAUGUUAUCUGCAGGAAAUUUGAGAUUUUAGAUUCUGAUGUGAUGUUUUUACUAACUGAGAUAUUUGGAAAGGGAUCUUUGAAUUAAUUGUAAUGCAUAUUAUCAUCUCUUUUUGUUUGAGGAGUCUGCUUGUCCUUUUUUUGGGUAAGACAGAUGUUGCCUUGAGUCUAAGUUCAAGCUUAUGCUUAUGUGCAUGCAUGGGUUGAGUUUGUGAUAAGCUCUGUAGCUCCUUAUAAAUGCUACUAGUUUAAUUGCUGAACUUAUACAAUACGGAAGAAUUUCUCUCAAACAAGUGGGCAAAAAAUGGUCUCUCCUUGCUAAAAACUGUCAUGUGCAUCAAUGUGACAUAUCUCAUAUAACCUUUUGAUCCAGAAUUUAAUGACCUAAAAGUUGAAAGGAGCGAAAUGAGGGAUGAUUAUUUUCAAUGAAAAUCUGGGUAGGCUGGAGUGCCUUUGGAGGUGGUUCUGUGAAAGUUGAGGAAAAGUAUCCUUUUUUUGGUUAUAGAAGACAAGGAACUGAAGGCUUGUUGCAUCGAUAGGCUAAAACUAAUCCAGAUCCCUCAAUGUCUUUAUGAACAGCUGGAUAGAUCAUUGAACAAUUUGAGCCAGAUUUCUUCAAGGAAGAUAUUUUUGACCUUGAUGGCUCAUUUUAGAGACUCAUUAGGAAUGUCGAUUUUCAUUAAGUCUACUGAAGUCUGCACCAGAUGUGGCAUCACCAGUCAUGCUUGUCUUGUGGACAAUGAUGUCUUGGCAUUUUAGGAGGCUUUGCUCUUGAAAGUGUUAGGAAGUGAAUGCUAAUAAAGAGCAAGAUGGUGAGAAAGUUAUAUAUAACUAGGCUCUUAUACUGCAGAGGGAUGAGCUUGAAAAUGUGAAUUAUCAGAGGCAGGGAUAAGGGUGAAAGAAUUUUCUUAUGAUUUCAAACUAAUACAGCUUUAAUAACAUUGAAUCUUCUCUUGUUGUGAUCCCUUAUGAUCUUAUCUCUAUUUAUAUUAUUAUUUAGAUCCCUACCAUUUAAAGGGCCCCUUUUUUUGAUGAAUGAUAUCAAUUUUUUCCAAGGACAGAAAUGUAAGAAUCUUUAAUCUUUUUGUUGUAACUUUGCUAUGUUGUUGAACCUCUUGAUGUCUUCCUCACAAGCAUGGACCAAUUUGGUGUUAGUGCAAAUCUUGUUUGCCUUUCCUUUAAUCAUGUUGAGAAGUUAAUGAUAAGUCCCCAUCAUAUAUCAUGAGGUACACUUCAGAGUUAUAAUGUUGUUUUGCUGCCAAGGUUAAGUUUCUCCAAACAAUAGAAUUACUGAAUAAAUUCGUGCUGCUAUUUUUAGAGAAAAGAAUAUGGACAAUCCUUUUCCUUCAAUUCUGUUUCCUACGCUACCAUUGGUAAUGGCGUUGAUCAAGUGAACUGGUCAAUUCAGCCAUGAGGCUAGUCUACAAGGAAAAUUUGCAUCAGUAAUCAGUAAAAUUAUUAUUAUGUAAUGAUCUUCUAAAACCUUGGGAGUUCUGUUUGCAGUGUUGAAUCUGAGGUCUCUCUUUCGCCUAGCUGUAAGGUCCCGGUGGUUGCUAUUACUGCAUGUGGUUGCUAUUACUGCAUGUGGUUGCAGGAUGUGAUAUGAUGUUGAUGUAAUUGCGCCAUGCAUGUGUGAAC
rnacentral:lncRNA from 1 species